GGUUAAGCGACUAAGCGUACACGGUGGAUGCCCUGGCAGUCAGAGGCGAUGAAGGACGUGCUAAUCUGCGAUAAGCGCCGGUAAGGUGAUAUGAACCGUUAUAACCGGCGAUUUCCGAAUGGGGAAACCCAGUGUGAUUCGUCACACUAUCAUUAACUGAAUCCAUAGGUUAAUGAGGCGAACCGGGGGAACUGAAACAUCUAAGUACCCCGAGGAAAAGAAAUCAACCGAGAUUCCCCCAGUAGCGGCGAGCGAACGGGGAGGAGCCCAGAGCCUGAAUCAGCAUGUG
rnacentral:rRNA from 1 species